UCGAAAUAGCGCAUUCUACGCUCCUCUCGUUUGUUCUCUCUUUCUCUCCUUUCUUUCUUCUUCCUCUUCUUUUCUGUUCAAUUUGAUUCAUGAUUUUGAUUUCUCGAUUCUAAAGAUUUGCAUGUUCGUUGUUCAGACUUCUUUGAUCGAUAGAUAUGGAUUUGCGUUUAUCGGAUUGCAUAGAUAUGAAGAAUUUCACACUUUUUUAUGGAUCAUCGUUUAUCGAGAAUUAUUUGUUGUGUAGUUUUUGAAUUAUUGGAUGUAGUUCUUCAUAAUUGAAUAAAUCGAUACAUGUGUUUAUCGGUUUUGCAGCGAUCGUACGUUUGGAAUCUGGAUAUGAGAACGAAGAACGCCAAAAUCGCUCGAUGCUCGACCUAUCCCUAGUUUAUGGAUCAUCGGUUAUCAAUUAUUAUUUGAUUAUUUAUUUGAUUAUUGGAUAUAGUUCGUCAUAAUUGGAUAAUAUCGAUGUCUUUAUCCAUUAUGCAGUGAUCUUAAGUUUGGAAUCUGGAUCGUUUUGCUAUUCAUAUGAGAACGGAGAACAAAGAAAUCGCUUGCUCAAUGGAUCAUCGGUUAUCAAUAAUUAUUUGAUUCAUUAUUUGAUUAUUGGAUAUAGCUCUUCAUAAUUCGAUAAUGCAGAUAUGUUCAUGGUUUUGUAGCAAGGUGAACAUUUUGAGAUUCUUGAUUCAACGGAUAUGAACAGAGAACGGCACCAGAUAGAUGAAUCAAAUUUCUUCAAUGAUUUGUAUUUAUGAUUUUUACUUCUUGGCUUUGAUUCCAUGGUGGUCAUAAGAAUUGAUAUGUGAAUAUGUUUUUCUGCAGCGUGGUUUAUCAAAAUAUGAAUAACAUGGAGCCUGGAUAUUUGAUUUGGUUAUAUCUUUCUUUGUUGAUUUGGAGAAUGAAAUUUUGAUUUCUUGAUUUGGUGUUUUACUUUCUUGAGUCUUUGAUUGCUUAAUUUCAGGGUUUGUUAUAAACGAGAUCCUAAGGAUCAAGAAUCAAGAAUUUCAUACAAUCGCACUUCUCUUCUUUACAUGAAAAUUUCUUAAAAUUCAUUUGAUAAUUAUUGUUUUCUUAAGAUUUUCAUAUAAUUAAUUAAUUCUUUAUGAUACUCGAGAUCAUUUAUCGGUUUUGCAGUGAAACCUCUUGAUACAUGGGACAAAAACGGCUCCAGCUAGAUAAAUCAAAUUUCUUUAUUAGGUUCUUAAUAAUUUUGAUUUGAUUGGAAGGCAUACAAAUUGAAUUUUAAACAUGUUCUUAAUUUAUUCUGCAGCGUGGUGGUUUGUCAAACUAAGCGGGAAUUUGGUGAUGUCUGUUACAUUUUUUUCUUUUCAAAAUUUCUUCAUUGUUUUCUAUGUAUAAUAUUAAAUCCGUUAAUAUUUUUUGAUUCAGUGAUCUCUUUGGUUUUUCAGGAGAAAUAAUCUAUGAAAACACGAUUUGCUCUGGUUCUAUCUUUCUUCCUCUAAUUUUGUAUUAUUUUUCAUUUCUGGGUUCGUGUGCGAUACAUAAAAAUUGGAUCAUGAACUUUCUUUUUCAGAUUGUUUUGUCCAAAUAAUAAACUCAUUCAUAGCAUAGAACCUCAACUCUUAAUUUGGUAAUAUGUAGUAAAUCAAAUUUGUUUAAAUCUUUAUUGAUUUUGAGAACAAAUAGUCCAUGAUUUUGUUGAUUUUGCAGCUAAAGUCAAGGUAUUCUUGAUUCAAUUGUGUGGUUUGUCAAAAUAAUGAUCUCCUUCAUUCAUAGCAUGGAGCCUCUUUUUGUUCAAUCUUUAGUGUUGUUGGAGAGCAUGUAUGAUUUGGAUGUCUAGAGUCUAGAGUUUGCAUGAUCUUCUUUCUACUUUCUUUCGUUUUUUGAUCCAUUAGCCACAUGUUGUUUUCUCCUUGAUUGCUUAAUUUCAGGUUUUCCUAUGAGCGAGAUCUUAGGGUUAUACUUCUCUUCAAUCUUCUUUUACAAUCCGUUAUCAAGAAUUAUUUCUGUAAUUUUUGGAUUGUUAAAUUGUUAAUUUACUUUUUGGUGUUACAUGAGAGGAUAUGAUUCCGAUUUCUUGAUUCUGAAGUUUGUUUAUUCUUGUUCAAACUUUCUUUCGUUUCUGGUUUUCUUAACCUGUUUGCUCCAUGAUUGCUCGAUUUCAGGGUUCUCCUGCUAAACGUGAGCAUAGAUGUCAUGAAUUUUAACUCUUCUCUUGACUCUUUGUUUACAAAUUCGUUAUCAAAACAUGUCUCUGUAUUUUUUGGGAUAUAAUUCUUCAUUUGAUAAUCUGGCGAUGCAUUUAUCCAUCUUGCAGUGAGCUGUAAAGUCUGCAUUAUCUAGAAAGUUUUUAUACACCUGAAAAGAACAACAGCUCCAGAUAGAUAAAUAUCAAAUUUCUUUAUUGAGCCAUUCUUUAUUAUUUUAAUUUCUGGCAUUCAAUUGCAAGACGUACGAAUUGAAUUUUGAACAUAUUUUCCUGCAGCAUAGUUGUCUUCAUGGCAUGGAGCCUAGCAUUUUUAUUCGGUGAUCUCUAUUAAAUUCUUCACAUUUUAUAAAAAAAAAUUAUUGACACCCUAUUUCCUUUUUUUUUUUGUUUUUUUUUUUGUUAUUUACUCUUCCAUGUUGCAGGAGAAGUGAUCGUUGAACAUACUCUGGUUCUAUUGAUCUUCCUCUUGGUUAUAUCUCAGAAGUUCAACUUUAGGUUUUCUAACACCAUCAUACUGCUGAUUCCUUAAAUUUUGGUUUUUGAUGUAAUCUGACAGUGUGAUAGUUUACACAAUUUUGGAGAAAUUGAGACUCUGCUUUGAUGUAAUCUCAUUUAGGUUUUCUUACUUUCGUUAAAUUAGAUAAUCGAGAUAUAUGUUUAACCAUUUUGCAGCAGGUGGCAGAAUUCUUGAAAACUAGAAACAUUUUACGAUUCUUGACACAACGGAUAUGAACAGAGUGGCUUCAAAUAGAUAAAUCAAAUUUCUUCAGUGAUUCAUUCUUUAUUUGUUUUUAAUAUCAAGCUAUUGAUUAUGAGAAGAGUUGAACUGUGAACAUGCUUUUUCUGCAGCUUGGUGUGUCUAAGUCCUUCUGAGUAUGGAGCCUUGAGUAUUUUUCUGGUGAUCUCUAUCUAGUAAAUUCAUCCCUUCAAUGCUACUGAGAGCAUAUAUUUCACACUCUGUCAUGUUUUUCUUUUCUUUCUUUCUAUUUAUGUUAUUUUUCGAUAUAAGUCUUCCUUUGAUAAUCGAAGAUUCGUUUAUCCGUUGUACUGUUAGCAGGGAAGUCUUGAAAUCUAGGAGACUUGAUGUAAUGGACAAGAACGGGGGAACACGAUUUUUCUUUAAUGAGUCCUUUAUUAUUUAAAUUUUUUUGGGAUUUGAUAGCAAGGCAUAGAGCCUAGUGUAUUUAUAAACAUUGAAUUUUGAACAUUUUUGUCUGCAGCACGGUUUGUCAAACCGAUGACUUCCUUCGCAGCAUAGAGCCUAGUGUAUUUAUUUGGUGAUAUCUAUCAUAAUCUAUUUGUUUUCAAUAUUUCUUUUACUACUCUGAGAGUGAAUAUUUCUUGAUUUGUUACUCUUUGGUGUUGCAGGAGCAAUAAUCUAUGUAUGAUUUCUUACGAUUCUAUCUAUCAUUCUCUUGUUUGAUCCUCAUGUUAUUCUUUUUUGGUUGAUUCUUUGGUAGACUGAUGUUUGCAGUUCUUAUGUAAUGAUCUGAUUGUUUAGUUUGUUUGGGUUAUAAUUGAUUGUUCUCUAAUUUCUUUGUUACAGCAAGUAUUAUUAAUCGUCAACAGAUGUUGUUUUGUGUUUAAGGUUUGAGUAAUAGGUAACAGUUAUGUUUUGUGGAACUUGGAAACAUAGCUGGAGUUCUGAUAUGUCUAACAACGGCUUGGUUUGGAGAUUUAAACUAUCUUCCUUCUGUUUGUCAGGGUUAAGUGUUACAUAGGUUUGAAGUGCAACAGAAGUCUCCAAUCACAUUUCACUUUAAGUUUUCCUUCUGAAAUGGAGAAAUUGGUUUGUGCUACUUACUUAUAAAAAGGAUAUUUUAUUUGAUAUAGACUUUCGACUGUUGAUAGGAUUGAGUUGCCAAUCUGAACAUAGGGAGAAAUUGGUGAUUAGUGCCUCUUUCCUUUGUACUAUUUAUCUUCUGUCAACUAAUUAACAAGGAUAAAUGAUUUGAUAUACGUAAUUAACAAGAAUACGUGACUUGACAUAAAAUUUCAACUGUUGCUAGGAUUGAUUUGGCAAUCUGGACUUGGGGAGAAAUUGGUGGAGAUGAGUGCCUCUAUCUUUUGUACUACUUAACUUCUGUCAACUAAUUAAUACAUGAUUUGAUAUACGUUUUAGUCUAUUGCUAGGAUUGAUUUGGCAAUCUGAAUUUAGCGAGAAAUUGGUGGAGUGCCUCCAUUUGUACUACUUAUCUUCUGUCAACUAAUUAACAACAUGAUUUAUGUUUUCAACUGUUGCUAGGAUUAAUUUGGCGAUCUGAACUUAGGGAGAAAUUGGCGGAGAUGAGUGUCUCUGUCCUUUUGUUUGUACUACUUAUCUUGUUUCUAUGAUCAACGUAGUUUUCAUUGAUAUUUGUAAUUUAUGAAGAUGUCAUCUUCAUUACAGUGGCCCAAGGACUCCUGUAUUUGAGUUUUAUGUGUGUGAUACGGAGGAGAAACCUAUAAAUGUGGCAGGAAGCGAGGUUCCAUUCAGCCUUGGGAUAAAAAUGGUAAUUUUCUAGCGGUGUCCUCUUAUGGUUUCUUGCAAGUGUCAAGUUUUUGUUGAUCUGUAUCAGGAGUGAGUAUGAAGCAUAUAAGAAUUCUGGACUGGUUUGACACUUUACUUUGUUGAUUUGUCCCUUCCUCUGCUAUAAUCCUUUUCUAUUUUAACACACAACUUUGCACUUUACUGUUUAUACAAAUGAUUUGUUAGAGAAAUUCAAGGUUGUUUUUUUAUUUAUAUCAAACUGUUUCUUCCUAUGUGUGUUAUUGAAUGAAUUAUGAAGGAGUUGCCUCAACAUGUUGAAAAUUUUGAGAAAAUGCAAGUCAUGUUGACUAUCCUUGAACUUCUUUUAGCAAGUCUUUUUUAAGCACAUCCUUCCUGUUCUUGUUUUGAACAAAGUAAGUAUAAAAAAUUAGGAGAGAACCUCAAAACAAAAUCUGGCUAAACCACAACAACUUCAAACACAAAUAUAAAAACAUGAGGGGGUGCCUAAAGCUCAGACCGAAUCCUAGCAAUGCAUCAAACUUCCUAACCUUCGCACUAGAAACGUACCAAAAUUCAAUAUGUGGACUAAUGCUUCCGCAAUUUCCUAAGUUCUUUGUCCACUGCAUUGUCUAUUUCUCGAAUCCACUGCAUCAUGGGUAAUGAGAUACCUGAAAACAAGUAUAAAAUUUCAUUGCAAAUUCUUCAUUUCAAUUCAAGAUGGCCUUAUCCAACUAGUAAGACAUCAUAUUAGCACAUAUAGUACAUAUGGAUCGAGCACCAAGCAUAUCAUGCACUACUACUACCUAUAUUGUUAAUCUCAAAUAGCACCGAGUGAAACUGACAAAGGCGCUUCGAGGGCCUUGGGUGGGACAGUGGGGGAUGUGUGACUAUGCCACACCGCCAUAGCACGCUACUAACAAUAGACAACAUUUAAAGUAUGUUCAAUGAGCAAACAGUUACUAAUAAUCACAAUCUAUUCUAUUAAAUAUUUCAUCAAUCACCUGAUAUAAAAAUAAAUAAACAACCCAUCAUAAAAUUUCAUAAACAAUGAAGACGCCCUACUUGACAGAUUCAUCACAAACAAGUAAUUGAGGAGAAAACUGAGAAAAUGAAUUGAAAUACCUUUUCUACCAUUCUUACGAAUGCCAUCUUCAAAGCGACAUUCUCGAGAAUGUCGAUCCGAAUUUGUUUCUUCCAAGAUUUCACGCAAACUAUCUUGUGUCCAUCUUUUGAGGAACCAAGAUCAAAGACAACGAUUUCGUCGUCGGGAUCGGAUUCUGAAUAUGCACUCAAAAGAUGGACGAAAUCUGAUCCCGACGACGAAAUCGUUGUCUGUGAUCUUGGUUCCUCAAAAGAUGGACACAAGAUGGUUUGCGUGAAGUCUUGGAAGAAACAAAUUUGGAUCGACAUUCGCGAAUGUUACUUUGAAGAAGGCAUCCGGAAGAAUGACAGAAAAGGUAUUCAUUUUCUCAGUUUUCUCCUCAAUUACUUGUUUGUGAUGAAUCUGUCAAGAAGGGCGUCUUCGUUGUUUAUGAAAUUUUAUGAUGGGUUGUUUAUUUAUUUUUAUAUCAGGUGAUUGAUGAAAUAUUUAAUAAAAUAGAUUGUGAUUAUUAGUAAUUGUUUGGUCAUUGAACAUACUCUAAAUGUUCUCUAUGAUGUUAGUAGCGUGCUAUGGCGGUGUGGCAUAGUCACACAUCCCCCACUGUCCCACCCAAGGCCCUCGAAGCGCCUUUGUCAGUUUCACUCGGUGCUAUUUGAGAUUAACAAUAUAGGUAGUAGUAGUGCAUGAUAUGCUUGGUGCUCUAUCCAUAUGUGCUAAUAUGAUGUCUUACUAGUUGGAUGAGGCCAUGUUGAAUUGAAAUGAAAUUUUAUACUUGUUUUCAGGUAUCUCAUUACCCAUGAUGCGGUGGAUUAAGCUUCGUAGCUGCAUUCGAGAAAUAGACAAUGCAGUGGACUAGGAAAUUGCGGAAGCAUUAGUCCACAUAUUGAAUUUUGGUACGUUUCUAGUGCAAAGGUUAGGAAGUUUGAUGCAUUGCUAGGAUUCGGUCUGAGCUUUAGGCACUUACUCAUGUUUUUAGAUUUGUGUUUGAAGUUGUUGUGGUUUAGCCAGAUUUUGUUUUGAGGUUCUCUCUUAAUUUUUUUUUAUACCUACUUUGUUCAAAACAAGAACAGGAACGAUGUGCUUAAAAAAGACUUGCUAAAAGAAGUUCAAGGAUAGUCAACAUGACUUGCAUUUUCUCAAAAUUUAACAUGUUGAGGCAACUCCUUCAUAAUUCAUUCAAUAACACACAUAGGAAGAAACAGUUUGAUAUAAAUAAAAAAACAACCUUGAAUUUCUCUAACAAAUCAUUUGUAUAAACAGUAAAUGAUUUGGUUCUGACUUUUAUUUUCAUACAUGUUAAAUUGAAAAUAUGUUGUUUUGAUGCAAUGUUGUGUGUUAAAAAACAGUAACAUUCAGUUUGGUUCCUUUCUUUUUUGCCGAUUUUUAUUGAUGUUCAAUUGAGAAGAUCACCCUUAGAAGUUGUUGCUAUCAAUACUACUUCUUUCAACAGUGCAAAGUUUAUGCCAUUCUAGAGAUGCUGGGAUAGCUUGAUGGGGCCGCUCUUUGUUAUGCUGCUGAUCUUCAACUUGAUUAGAGGAAUCAGGCUGCUAUUCUUUCUCUCUUAGUUCUUUUUGUUGCAACCUAUUUGUUACAGCAUAAUUUUCUGUACAUUUUCAUCUGGUGUUAACAGGGUUAGUGUUACAUGGGUUUGGUGUACCACAAAUGUUAAUUCUUUCUCAAUCACACUGCACCUUUUCAAUAGUGUCUGGAAAGUGGAGAAAUUGAAGAUAACUGUCUUUGUUUGAGACUCUUCAACUUCCCUCUGUUCUUUUGAACAGACUAUGAAUAUUUGGUCUGCUGUGGUCUGUGGAAGCCAAAGGUUAACAUACUAUUUAUUCUGAAUCGCCUGGUUUGGAGUUUAUUUGUUCUCGAAAUCUGCCAUUCUUUUUGUUAUCUGUGAUAUAUGAGAAUAAGAAUCUUUUCCGCCAAAUCUGUAUAUCUUUGUCACAGCAAGGAAUCAUAAAUUUAUGUUGUUGCACAUGGAGCAGAAAUCUGCAAUUAGCUGUGACUUAAUUCUGACUAUUCGGUAUACUUCCACUUGGUGAUCUCCACUCUAAAUACUAAUUCGUCACGGGUGUCUCUUAGGAAUUUAGUUUUCUUGAUUCCUUAAGUUCCAUGUGUCUGUUAUAGGGGGAUGGGACUGCAAAAGCUAUGGCGAGAAUAAGAAGUUCUGCGAUAGCCUAUGAAUGUAAUGUGGGAUGGUAUAAGUUGUGGUAUUCAGGACUUGCUUUGAGAUCUGGGUUUAAACCGUUUAUUUUUCCUUGAAUAAUUUUUCUGGAUUGGAAUUGUUUUCUUUUCAUGGUGUCAUGUGGUAAUGUUGAUUUGUGUGUUGUUUAUCAGGAAUCUGGGUAUAAGAAGAGCUUUAGAAUAACAACAAUUUCCUCGUAUAACUUUGGAAAAAUGGGAUUCUAGAGUUUUGGACAGCUUGGGUCGGCUCUUAGUAUUUGGAUGUUGGCGUCUUAGUUUGGGGGAGCUUUUCUAUACCACUUUUGAUAAAAGCACAAGCAUAGUUAUACUUCUGUUUAGUACAGAUCAAACAGUAUGUCAAAGGUCGCUUGUGUCCGUGCAUUAUGUUUGUUUGCAACCUCUUUGCUUAAGUUUGGUAGUCUCCUAUCCUUUUUCCUUCCUCAACAGCACCGAUCUUGGUUGUGAGUUUUAUCGAAUGGUUUGUGUAUACUUUACUAUUAACAAAGGUGGUGUCCGGACUCCUCGCUUACGAAUCUACAUGGGUUGCGGAAGUUGCGGAUGAUAUUACCACAGAGGAUGAUGAGUUUUUGGCAGCCUGAGGAUUUCAAGUGUCAAUUAACUUCCUCUUUAAAUGGUGUACGCUCUUUGUUAUAGCAGAAAGUACUCUAUUUGUUAUGCCAGAACCACAUUUGUCCCGGUUGGCCUACUUGUCUCAUUUAGUUUUUUCGCAUAGUCCGAUGAGUAUCUGAUGGUGAUCUAGUAACAUGAUCACAGGAUGUAGCAGUCUUUAGAAAACCAUUGGUUAGGGAGGGCAAAGAAUUAAGUUUGGAAGGGAUUUUUACUUUUCUUUUGUACCAUGGUAAGAGAAGGAACUAAGCUAUGUUAAGACAAGUUUUAUGUUUUUAAUGUAUCAUUGAUCAAUUUAUUUAUCCCAAUUCUGUUUUCUAUUUCA